rnacentral:lncRNA from 1 species
GAGUCCGGGUGAGUAGGAGAAGAUGGCGGAGGCAACGGACGGGUCGCGGUUGCGUGGCGUCGCCCACCACGACCCACUCCACGGGCUCUGAGGCCCGGGGAGCGCCAGUUCCUUGAAGGUCCUCCGUCCUGGAGCAGUAAGAUCCUUGACGUAACUAGAAAUGGCAGGACGGAGUCUCGCUCUGUCACCCAAGCUGGAAUGCCGUGGCGCAAUCUUAGUUCACUGCAACCUCUGCCUCCUCGGUCCAAGCCAUUCUCCUGCCUCAGCCUCCCGAAUAGGCAAAUGAAUAAAAGAACAUCUUUUAUUUACCCG